GGUCCCAUAGCUCAGCGGGAGAGCGCUCGCCUCACACGCGAGAGGUCGCUGGUUCGAAACCAGCUGGGACCACAA
rnacentral:tRNA from 5 species